CAUGGAGGUUUCGCCUCUUCGGUAUCGAAUUGAAAAAGAAAGAGGGAAUGUCAUGGCUGGCGAGGUCUCUGGUGAGGUCGCUGAGCGCCAAUCAUGGCGAUGGCGACGGCGACGACGAGGAGCGGAGAAAGGAGAAGACCGAAUCGCCGUCUAAAGAAGCGGAAUCCGACGAGGACCGCCCCAUGGAGCCCGGAACCCCGACGAGGGGCGUCAAGGAGGACCUCUCCGAGCUCACCAAAACCCUAACCCGCCAAUUCUGGGGCGUCGCCUCCUUCCUCGCCCCGCCGCCGGAGUCCCAGAACCCCGACACUCCGAGUCCCCCUGAAACGGAUUUCUCCGCCUCUGAUCGCGGCUGGAGGUCCGAUUCCUCCGAUCCGGCGGCAUCCCUGUACGCCGAUGAGGCGGCGGCGGCGGCAGAGUCGCCGAGGAUCGCCGGAAUCCGGAGCGAUUUCGCGGAGAUCGGUGGGAAGUUCAAGAGCGGGAUCUCGAUGCUGUCGAAUACCAUGGCGGUGUCGGAGAUCUCCAAGAUUGCGUCUACUUUUCUGCCGUUUGGGGCUGAAGAGGAAGAGGAGGACGAGGAGGAGGAGGAAGAGAAUUUUGAGGCUGGAACGGUGGGGGUUACCAAGGAGGUCUUGGCGUUUGCGAGGAAUAUCUCGAUGCAUCCAGAGACAUGGUUGGAUUUCCCAUUGUUCCAUGAAGACGAAGAUUCCGACGAUUUUGAAAUGUCAAAUGCUCAACACGAGCAUGCAUUGGCCAUUGAACGCCUUGCACCCAGAUUAGCAGCUCUGAGGAUUGAACUUUGCCCGAGUCAUAUGAGUGAAGGGUGCUUUUGGAAAAUCUAUUUUGUACUUCUGCAUUCUAGACUCAAUAAGCUUGAUGCUGAACUUUUGUCAACACCUCAGAUUGUAGAAGCCAGAGCAAUGUUGUUACAGGAUCUACAGAAUCGAACCAAGCCUGGAUCCGAGAGGCCUGGAAGAGGGACACUCUAUAGGAAAGAGGAUGCCACUUCAGUUCCAAUUGAACACGAAGUCGUGGUGCCAUCAAGAACGGCAUAUGGAACUGGACCAUCCAAAACACCCUCAUUUGGAGAACCCACUUCUGAUCCCCUGGUAGAUGUUGAAACUGAAAAGCAUCCAGUCCAUUUAACUGAGGUAAAAAUUAUUGACAAAUCUGUCAUCGACGAACAGCCACCUCUGCAAAGUAAGAUCAAGGAUUUUCCUAGCGAGACAUCUAAAGUCUCCAUCGUGGAGGAUGAAGAGGAUGGUGAUGACUGGCUGGAAGAGGAUACUGGUGAAAUGGGUAGCACAGGAGGUGCUGCUAUCCCAUUAGGACAUGAGGAAGAUGUAUCAUUCAGCGAUCUCGAGGAUGAUGAUGAUGAUGAUCGAGGCACACUUUCAAGCUCCAAAAGCCUUGAUGCAAAUGAUUCUCAAACUAAAGACUCUAGAGGCUGGGUUCAGCUUAAUAAAGGUUCUGGGGGCUCAUCAAAGAGCGGUGACUCCACAAGCCCAGAAUCCAAGGAAUCCAAUGAUUGGUUAAAUGUUGAACAUUUUGAUGUGGAAUGAUGGGCUUUAAAGUAUAUGUUCUGAGUGCUCUCCAAACAUGGAUCGAAUGCAUGCUACAUGGCACGAGGAGAUUGGCCGAUAGUGAUGACGUGCCAGCUUAAAUGCGAGGAGGACAUGGCAGGCCAUUAAAAAGCUGCCACAACUACACACUGUCGUAGCUUUCUUGAAAGCCAUGGCUUCCGGAGGCCUGAAGCUAUUCAGAUACGUCUGGUGUUCCUCCUGCUUUAGGUCGUACUUUACCCGCAGGCCACGGCAGUAAGGCCAUUUAAUAGGUCUUGGUCCGGGGAUUGAAGGGCUUCCACUGGCCAAGCGUUUAUGAGCUCUGAAAUAGAUUUUGCAAAUUUAAUGACAUAAUUAUGGAUUUUGCAAUAAUUUAUUUU